rnacentral:rRNA from 1 species
ACUCCUACGGGAGGCAGCAGUGGGGAAUAUUGCACAAUGGGCGCAAGCCUGAUGCAGCCAUGCCGCGUGUAUGAAGAAGGCCUUCGGGUUGUAAAGUACUUUCAGCAGUGAGGAAGGUGGGUAUGUUAAUAGCAUAUCAUUUGAUCGUNUGGCUGCAGAAGAAGCACCGGCUAACUCCGUGCCAGCAGCCGCGGUAAUACGGAGGGUGCGAGCGUUAAUCGGAAUUACUGGGCGUAAAGCGCAUGCAGGUGGUUUGUUAAGUCAGAUGUGAAAGCCCGGGGCUCAACCUCGGAAUUGCAUUUGAAACUGGCAAACUAGAGUACUGUAGAGGGGGGGUAGAAUUUCAGGUGUAGCGGUGAAAUGCGUAGAGAUCUGAAGGAAUACCGGUGGCGAAGGCGGCCCCCUGGACAGAUACUGACACUCAGAUGCGAAAGCGUGGGGAGCAAACAGGAUUAGAUACCCUGGUAGG